AUUGAAUGCUGGCGGCAUGCCUUACACAUGCAAGUCGAACGGCAGCACGGGUGCUUGCACCUGGUGGCGAGUGGCGAACGGGUGAGUAAUACAUCGGAACGUACCUUAUCGUGGGGGAUAACGCAGCGAAAGCUGUGCUAAUACCGCAUACGCCCUGAGGGGGAAAGCGGGGGAUCGAAAGACCUCGCGCGAUUAGAGCGGCCGAUGCCUGAUUAGCUUGUUGGUGGGGUAAAAGCCCACCAAGGCGACGAUCAGUAGCUGGUCUGAGAGGACGAUCAGCCACACUGGGACUGAGGCACGGCCCAGACUCCUACGGGAGGCAGCAGUGGAGAAUUUUGGACAAUGGGGGCAACCCUGAUCCAGCAAUGCCGCGUGAGUGAAGAAGGCCUUCGGGCUGUAAAGCUCUUUUGUCAGGGAAGAAACACCGGCUCUAACACAGUCCGGGAAUGACGGUACCUGAAGAAUAAGCACCGGCUAACUACGUGCCAGCCGCCGAGUAA
rnacentral:rRNA from 1 species